rnacentral:rRNA from 1 species
CCCGCUCAGAAACUACAAAUAGAAUUGACGGGGCCCGGCACAAGCGGUGGAGUAUGUGGUUUAAUUCGAUGCAACGCGAAGAACCUUACCUGGUCUUGACAUCCCGGAGACCCUUAGGAAACUAGGGGGUGCUUCCAUCUGGAAGAAUCUGGAGACAGGUGCUGCAUGGCUGUCGUCAGCUCGUGUCGUGAGAUGUUGGGUUAAGUCCCGCAACGAGCGCAACCCUUGCCUUUAGUUGCCAGCAGUUCGGCUGGGCACUCUAAAGGGACUGCCGGUGUUAAACCGGAGGAAGGUGGGGAUGACGUCAAGUCCUCAUGGCCUUUAUGACCAGGGCUACACACGUACUACAAUGGCCGAUACAAAGGGCAGCGACACUGCGAGGUGAAGCCAAUCCCGUAAAAUCGGUCUCAGUCCGGAUUGGAGUCUGCAACUCGACUCCAUGAAGUUGGAAUCGCUAGUAAUCGUGGAUCAGCAUGCCACGGUGAAUACGUUCCCGGGCCUU